UCAAAACUGCAUCCUUGAGUUUCCGGAGAGGCAAGCGGAAUUCCUAGUGUAGCGGUGAAAUGCGUAGAUAUUAGGAGGACACCAGUGGCGAAGGCGGCUUGCUGGACGAUAACUGACGCUGAGGCGCGAAAGCGUGGGGAGCAAACAGGAUUAGAUACCCUGGUAGUCCACGCUGUAAACGAUGAAUACUAGGUGUGGGAGGACUGACCCCUUUCCGUGCCGCAGUUAACACAAUAAGUAUUCCACCUGGGGAGUACGACCGCAAGGUUGAAACUCAAAGGAAUUGACGGGGGCCCGCACAAGCAGUGGAUUAUGUGGUUUAAUUCGACGCAACGCGAAGAACCUUACCAGGGUUUGACAUCCAACUAACGAAGUAGAGAUACAUUAGGUGCCCUUCGGGGAAAGUUGAGACAGGUGGUGCAUGGUUGUCGUCAGCUCGUGUCGUGAGAUGUUGGGUUAAGUCCCGCAACGAGCGCAAC
rnacentral:rRNA from 1 species